CCGCAAUCCGAGGGUCAGGCAGGGAGGGCCUCCACCGCGGCGAGGCUGCCUCCGUCCUCCUAAGAAGCGGCGAGUAAAAAUAAGGGAAAAAGCAAGAGGAAAAGAGGCCUCAGGGAAUUUUUUUAUGAACGGUGCAGUAGACCAGACUGGGAUAGGAAGAGAGCCUGAAGAAUAAGAUAGUGUCUUCCUGAGAGAAUAAAGCAGCCAAGAUCCAUUGGAAGGUUCUAUCAUCAAGAAAGGAAACUGAAAUGUGAUAAAUUCCCCGUCAACAGGGAAAGCACUGGCAGGACUCCAGAAACAGAAAGCAACACCGCGUCACCCUGGAAAGAGUGGCCGCCAGAAGUCAAGAGAGUAGAUCCGUCACAUGCAGGGAUGCGCUGGGGUCAGGUUGUCAAGGGCAGCCAAUGAGAGGAGGCGAUGUGAGAACAUCACUUUUGUGGCUGGACCCAGGCUGAAAGAGAAGCCACUGUCUGGGGUAUGUCGAUCUCAUGACAGAAGCAGAUGCUCAAGAUGCCAAGCCAAAUGUGGGAGCACGUUUCAAGCCUCUGACCGGAUGUGAUAUAUGUCAACUCUGCUCCAUUCUGCCGGCCAAUGCAAGUCACACUGGGGAGCCAACAUCCAUGGGGUGAGAGUGUGUACUCCUCCCUCUGAGAACUGGGAGGGACAGUGAAUAUCUGAAGAGCAAAUAUGUGUUUCCAGCUGAUGAAGACGGCUUUCCCCUCACCCUUCAGGAGAGAUCACUUCCUGUCUUUGCCAUCUCCAGCUAUCUGAGGGGGGAGCAGAAGAAAGGGGGCUAUCCUGUGUGGGGUCUCUCCCUGGGAACCUGCCUGCAUGCACACUACCUGAGUUAUUUUUCUCCUCUCCUCCUGCUCUGUGAUCAACGGAUCAGAGCAGGACUUAACCCCUGCAAAAGGGUCAGUAAGCAGUCAAUUAAUGGGGCAAAGGAGCAGGAGGACCACACGAGCCUCAGACCCUAGCUAAGAUCUCUAGUCCAACUUUCCCAGUAUAAACUCAUCCUCUCACCUCUAUCUAAUUCCUGUGUCCAUUUCUCAGUUGGUUCACAACAUGAAGGGGAGGCGAAUUGAGCGGGGUCUCACCAAACCUGCGACACUUAGAAUGAUGUGACCUCUCCUAGGCCCCCGAGUGACUAGCAUCUAUUUAUUUUUUCAAUGACAAUAAAAA
rnacentral:lncRNA from 1 species